AGAGAGAGUUCAAGAGUACGUGAAACCGUUAAGAGCCAAACGGGUGGGACCUCGAAGGUCGAACCGAGGGGAUUCAGCUCGUCGGCUCAGGUCGGCCGGGCGCGGGUUUCGCUGAGGCGACCCAAGCACCUGUUGGGCGUGCCCGCGCUUCCGAGCCGGCGCCGGCGGGCGUAUUUCCCCUCGUGAUGUAGGACGCCGCGACCCGUUGCUGGGGACGUCUAAGGCCCGGUUGGAUUGGUACCCCGACGCCGCUCUAUAAGUGGCGGCGAAGGGGGAAACCUCCGGUGUCCUGGCUGCCCUGCGACGGUCGUGUAGCGGAGGGGCUCCCAGAGCCUUGCCUCUCGCGGCGUGCAAAAGGUCGGUGACCCACCCGACCCGUCUUGAAACACGGACCAAGGAGUCUAACAUGUGUGCGAGUCAAUGGGCGCACUAAACCCAAAGGCGCAAUGAAAGUGAAAGGAGGGUACCCGCCAGGGUGCCCUCUGGGGCCGAUCCCUGGCCGAGAGUGAGAGACGCCGUGCUGACCUAUACCAAAGCGGGGCCACUAUGGCGGCGCGCGUAGGUGAGACCCUUUCCCACGUUACCGCCGCCGGCCUCGUGGGCACACGGUGCGCUCUCCGGCCUGGAGGAGUAACAUCCUCUACCUGUACGCAGGGGGGCGCAGGCCCGGGACUUGUCAACCGACGCCGCGCGUGAAGCUGUUGUUGGUUCCGCCGAGCUUUGCUUGGGCUCUCGGAGGGAGCGCCGCGUUAGUCUUUUUAAGGGCGCGGUUGCGACCUCCGAUCCUGCUCUGUUCGGCGAGCCUUAGCGCGCGUGCUGUCGGCAAGUACCAUGAGCAGACAUGUUGGGACCCGAAAGAUGGUGAACUAUGCCUGGCCAGGAUGAAGCCAGA
rnacentral:rRNA from 1 species